GAUGAAGAACGCAGCGAAAUGCGAUAAGUAAUGUGAAUUGCAGAAUUCAGUGAAUCAUCGAAUCUUUGAACGCACAUUGCGCCCGCCAGUAUUCUGGCGGGCAUGCCUGUCUGAGCGUCAUUUCAACCCUCAUGCCCCUAGGGCGUGGUGUUGGGGAUCGGCCAAAGCCCGCGAGGGACGGCCGGCCCCUAAAUCUAGUGGCGGACCCGUCGUGGCCUCCUCUGCGAAGUAGUGAUAUUCCGCAUCGGAGAGCGACGAGCCCCUGCCGUUAAACCCCCAACUUUCCAAGGUUGACCUCAGAUCAGGUAGGAAUACCCGCUGAACUUAAGCAUAUCGAUAAGCGGAGGA
rnacentral:misc_RNA from 1 species